GAGAAAGCAAAGGGAGGUUGCGGGCCCAAGGAGACCCCUUAAAAGAUUUGUGCACAAAGUCCGGACGAAGACGCAGGACGCGUUCAGCCAGGAGACUGGGUGUUAAUCAAGAGUUGGAAGGAAAAUCCUUUAACCCCAAGGUGGGAAGGCCCAUAUCUUACCCUGCUCACCACAGACACUGCUGUGAGAACUGCCGAAAAAGGGUGGACUCACGCCAGUCGAGUAAAAGGACCAGUGAACCCUUCCGACUUUCCUGAGCAUUCACAGAACUGUCAGUGGAGAAUAAAAGGACCCCCAGACGGCCUAAGACUGACAUUCACCAAAACACCAGAAAUGGGCCGUCAUCCCGAUGACUGAGCAAUGGGAAAGGCUAGGACCAGCGGACCAAAGGAGGGUCCAACAGAAGCUGUCAUUAACUUUGCAGCCGUAUCUACUAAGUUUAGCACGCUUCAACUCAGCAGCUCGAGAAGCCUUAACGAAUCCUCCAGACAAUUGGGUCUGGUGGAUUGAAACUUAUGGACCCCAAGAGGAACCCUCGUUCCGACCUCUUAAACGCAGUCCCUGCUGUAGCUGUGGAAAAGAACUUUGUGAGGCAUGGGUAGCCUUUAAAUGCGGUGGUUGUAAUAAGGUUUAUUGGAAAGAACAAAGGUUAAUAUAUCACUUGUGGUGCGGGAGGUGUGCAAGCAAGGACAUUAGGAGGGGAGAUUGGGCUCUAGCAUUAGAAAGAGAGAACGGAAUACCUUAUACUCAAUUUCGGAGUGUGUAUGAGACCCCAGAACAGCUCUUGUUAGCAUGGGCGAGGUGGCAAAUUAAAUGUUGGUUGAAAAAGUGCCGACAGAUCGCCAAUUCCCGUAUUCUAACUGCAAGGUGCCGACAUACGGUACCACACUUAAGGACCUCAAUAGUUGGACCCCUAGGAAAAGACACAGACCCAGACACAGCUUUAAAUAAUUGGAUUGCUAAAUUUGAACGUCUACAUAUCAAGAAAAGCCGGGCCAAUCCGUCCCUGUCAUAAACUUUGUAAAAGGUUGUGGUGAGUCCACUGCCAGAGAGGGAGGGCUCCCAGAAAAUAUUUACCAACCUCGUUGGGAGGGAUAACUAGGGAAAGGACUCUAGAGUGUCCUAACCAGUCUCUUGGUCCUUACAAGGGUAAAACUCGCAAGCAAAAUAACAGCUACAGGUGCGACUCCCUGUUAACCCUCUUAAGAGGCGAAGGAGGUGCAAACCCCAUCCCUCAGAAGAUCCUUGCCGCCGAGAAGAUAACAGCCCUCGUAACUAGUCGCAAACUAGUUGACGAGCGAGGCGGAGGGAUACUUAGCGGAAGGAUGGAAUUUCACAAAAUGGGAGCACCAAUAGAGCUUACAGGCAGGGAUCAAAAGGGCCAAGGGACUCAAGUUGAAGAAAGGGUGAAACUGGACAGGCUGAUUAUUCAUACCCAUACUGGCAGUGGAUGUUACUCAACUUUAAUGCGAAUAUUGAUGACAUGGUUAUUGAUUAGGGAAACAUUAGGGGACAGCGUAAGCCAUGAACCCUUCAAAUGGUCACUUAUUAGGUGGGAAGAUCAACGAGUCAUAGCAACAACUACAACUUCAGGAGUCCCCUCCUUUAGGUGUCAGCUAUGUGACAUUAUCCAGGCUAAACCCUGUUUAAACAGGAUAGGGUUUUAUAUGUGCCCAGCGUCGAAUCCAGGGAAACCAUACUGCAACUAUCCUGGACACUUUUAUUGUGGAUAUUGGGGAUGUGAAACUAUAGCUCAUGGCUUUACCCCAGGAGGAGGGAGGGACUCAUAUAUAAGAGUCGGAUGGUACCCAUGGGGCUGUACCCCUCCCCGAUUUGAUUUUGCCGGUGGAGUGACAACGGGGGGGAACUGCCAGUCCAUUCAGAUAAACGUGACCAAUGACAAAAUUAACGAUCCAGUUUGGGUCACAGGAAAAACCUGGGGGGCAAGAUUAUGGGAACCAGGAAAGGAUCGAGGGGGGCAUUUUCUAAUAAGAAAAGAGCCAGUCCCUCAUGACCCGGAACCUGUGGGGCCGAACCCCGUACUUACUGAAGAAGGGAGAAAGAGAGAAAGGGGCAAUUAUUCAUUAGUAGAAAAUCUCACAAGGAAGCCGACUCAGUCGGGAGAUUGGCCACUAACAGCUCCACCUGCUCGGGAGUAUAGUAUGCUGUGGAAAGUGAUGCAAGCUACAUUCAGAGUUCUCAAUACUACGAACCCAAAUUUAACCAAUGAAUGCUGGUUGUGCUAUACUGUUAACCCGCCUUUUUAUGAAGCUUUAGGAACUACAGCAAAACCUAGGAGGAUUAACGGAACCAAUCCACGGGAGUGCCUUUGGAAGAGAGGCCAGGACAGAACCCCAGGGAUAUCAAUAGUUCAGGUAACAGGGAAAGGGAGGUGCGUAGGAAAAAUUCCAUCAGACAAAAAACAUCUGUGUGAAAUAGAUAUGACAACCGUCAAGUCUGAAAAAUCGGCUAAGUGGCUUCUCCCUGCAGUAAAUGCCAAAUGGGUAUGCAAUACACUGGGAGUCACUCCAUGUAUAUCUAUACCUCAUUUCAAUGAGACAUUCGAAUAUUGCAUACAGGUUGUGAUAGUUCCCCGAAUUAUAUACCAUCCAAAGGAAUAUGUAUACGAACAUCAGAUCACUCCUGAACAUCAUUUAGUGAAACGAGAACCCUUUACGGCCACAGCUCUUACAGUAGCCGUCCUAUUGGGCUUAGGAGGAGCAGGAGUAGGAACAGGGGCAACUGCCCUAAUAAAUCAGCAGAGGGGUAUGAAAGACUUGAGAGCCUCAGUAGAUGAAGAUCUAAGUAGAAUCGAAAAAGCAAUAGAUGGACUAGUCAAAUCAGUAAGAUCUUUAUCGGAAGUAGUACUCCAGAACAGACGGGGAUUGGAUAUACUGUUUCUACAACAAGGAGGGUUGUGCGUAGCAUUACGAGAGGAAUGUUGCACAUAUGCAGACCACACUGGAAUAGUGAUAGAUACCAUGGCCGAGCUCAGAAAACAAUUGGAAAAGCGAAAAAGGGAAAGGGAAGCACAACAAAACUGGUACGAAUCAUGGUUCAACCACUCCCCUUGGCUCACCACACUCCUGUCCACUAUAGCGGGACCUCUCAUAUUGUUUAUCCUAACAAUCACUUUCGGGCCUUGCAUAUUUAAUAAAUUGAUUAAUGUGGUAAAGGGAAGAUUGGAAGCCGCCCACCUCAUGCUCAUUAAGGCGAGGUAUGAACCUCUAAGCGAUGGGAACACAGAGGACUACUUAGAGCUCAGCAGAAAGGAGCUUGCCAGAUUCAGUGAACAAAAAGAGUGACAUAGAAAAAAAGGGGGGUUUGUGAUGGGAAUAUGACCUUCUUGUUCACUGAAAACAGGAGAAAGCAUAAGGUUGUGAUGGGAAUGUGACCUUCUUGUUCACUAAAAACAGGAGGAAACAUAAUGUAAAUAAGUAACCGCCAACUGGCAUGCGAUAACAUAUGAGACUAAACAUUGCUGAGCUAACCAAAAUAUAAGUUGUUCCCAGUCCCAGAUUCCCAGAGGGGGGGCGCCGAGGAAAAGUACCAGAGGCCCUAUUCGACGACCACCAGGAGGCAGAAGGAGACCCUCUAACAACCGGGUGGACCUGCGCGGAGAAGCACCGGAAAUGCGACGGGGCUAGGAGCGCGGGAGGGUACAAAAAGGGGAACGGAACAGUUUUCGGCGCGGCAGUUGGUGGAGCAAGGACUCCCCCGCCGCCCAGCGCUGCGAUUUGCUUUCUCUUUUCUGUAUUAAUAAAUUGGCUAUAUAAUUGA